rnacentral:tRNA from 1 species
GCUAGCGUAGCUUAAUCAAAGCACGGCACUGAAGAUGCCAAGAUGGGCCGUAAGAAGCCCCGCGGGCA